GAUGAACGCUAGCGGCAGGCUUAAUACAUGCAAGUUGAGGGGCAGCAUGAUAUACGCGAGUAUAUUGAUGGCGACCGGCGGACGGGUGAGUAAUAGGUAGGAGACCUACCUCAUACAGGGGGAUAGCAUAGAGAAAUCUGUGGUAAUACCCCAUGGGGUUAUAUGAAUAGAGGCAUAUAAUCAAAGCAUAAGCGAUUAUGCGGUAUGAGAGGGGCCUACUGACCAUUAGCUAGUUGGUGAGGUAAGGGCUCACCAAGGCGAAGAUGGUUAGGGGUUUUGAGAGAGAGACCCCCCACAUUGGAACUGAGAGACGGUCCAGACUCCUACGGGAGGCAGCAGUAGGGAAUAUUGGGCAAUGGGCGAAAGCCUGACCCAGCCAUGCCGCGUGAAGGAAGACGGCCUUAUGGGUUGUAAACUUCUUUACUACGCGAAUAGAGGUUAGUACGAGAUACUAAUAGGAAGGUAGUGUAGUAAAAAGCAACCGGCUAACUCCGUGCC
rnacentral:rRNA from 1 species